UACGGAGGGUGCAAGCGUUAUUCGGAAUUACUGGGCGUAAAGCGUUCGUAGGCGGUUUGUUAAGUCUGGUGUGAAAGCCCCGGGCCCAAUCCGGGAAGUGCAUUGGAUACUGACAGACUAGAGUGCGGGAGAGGAGAGUGGAAUUCCAGGUGUAGAGGUGAAAUUCGUAGAUAUCUGGAGGAACAACGGAGGCGAAAGCGACUCUCUGGACCGUUACUGACGCUGAGGAACGAAAGCGUGGGGAGCAAACAGG
rnacentral:rRNA from 1 species